UUUCCAUCAAUUUCCAGGGACAGUUGUGCAGGAUAUCUCAAUCUUGGCUGGAGAUUAUUAUCUUUCAAAGCUUGAAUUAUUUCCCCCCACGCUCUUCGUGAUUUGAUGGUUUGUGCAGAGAAAUCUGCUGUAAUUCUGAUGGGUGUUCCCUUGUAAGUGGUCUGUUUCUUGUCUCUUACAGCUUUUAAUAUUCUGUUCUUGUAUUGAAUUUCUGGAAUUUUUAUUAUUAUAUGCCUGGGUGUUGCUCUGUUUGGGUUGUAGGUAGCUGGGGUCCUGUAUGCCUCAUACAUCUGAGUAUCUUUACCUUUUGCUAAAUUAGGAAAAUUCUCCUGGAUUAUUUCUGUGAGUAGCUUUUGUAGUUCACUUGUUUGUGCCCCUACUUCUUCUUUUAUGUUCUUAAUCCUUAAGUUAUGGCUCCUCUUAUCAUCUUCUUGUCUUUGUAUUAUUGCUGUUUGUUUCUUUGUUAUUUUUAAGAAGUUUUUCAUUUCAUUCUCCCAUAUUACAAGUCUGCCCUCCAGUUCAGAUAGUCUGUCCUUAGUUUCUUUCAAGCUGUUAUGCCAGUCUUGGAUAGACUUCUUAGUAUCUUGGUAGUCCCUUUGAACCUGCUUCACGCAUUCUAUGCUUUCUCUGUUUUCUCCAUCAAACAAUUCUCCCCUUUUUUUCUGUUCUUCCAUUCCACCACCUGUUUUUUCUUGGGUGGUACUUAGCAUUUCUCUAACUAUUCUGCAUACUUCUAGCUUCAGGUCGUUGAUAACUUCAUUCCUGAAUUGGUCUAUGAGGCUCUCUAUAUGGCGCCUUAUGUGUAUUGGUGCGGUGUCUGCUAUUGCCUGUUUCUCAGAAUUGGGGGCCGAAGAGCCUUUCUUGUUGCUGCCUCUUCCCAUGCUGCCUCUUCUUCUCUGUUCCUUAUAUAUGCAAGCUUAUAUAAGAGGCCUAGCUUCUCUCCCAGUCAGCCACAGCCUGAUCGAAUUGCACCAGUUAGGUGUUCCCGCUCAGCGCUGCGCACCAGGGAGUUACAGACCAGGCAGCCUACGCAUCUCCCUUCCCAGCCACCGUCAGGCUCUGGGAUCUGGGUUGGGACAGCCUAGCAGGUCCGCCGGCAGCGUCACGCAGGCCAGGCACUUUUCACCAAUCCCGCCCGAGAGGGGGAUGUGUGGCUGGAGUCGCCACCGCGCCCUGCUCCCGCAGGACUGCUCGGGCCCAGAAAGUCCUCUGCUGGAGUCAAACUGUGGUAGAGUGUCAGUUUCUCUCACUCACCUCACCACAAGUCAGUGCACGCCUCCCUGCCAUUCGCAGAUUGCCGUUCUCAGAGCUUCUGCGCGUCUCUCUCCUUGCCGAGCCACUGUAGAGGCAGCGAGCCACUGUAGAGGCAGCCAGCCACCGCACGGCGGGAAACCCAAAUCGCGGCUUACAAUGGCGCGGGGUCCAGCCUCCACACCGAGGCUUUUCUGUUCCUGUUUUAGCACCAGGACUGCAUUCCAAGUUGGUUUCUCUCAGCCCAGUUCGUUCCUGAGUCAGCAGAGCAUAUCUCCACCUGCUUAUGUCUCCUUAGUCCGCACCAUUCCUGGCUUCUGAGCCAAGUCUUUCAGAGAGCCUCCGGUAGUUGCUGUUAUCUGUCCGCCAUGUUCUCCCGGAAGUUCUAAACCACAAAUGCAACUAUUUUCUACAACUGGACACCCUGGGGCACUGACCACAUUGUUGUAAAAUAACUGUAGCACCAUCACACUGUUCUGUAUGCGCCGUCUUCCUGGGUGACCUGAUUGAUAUGUUAACCAUUGUUCCCCUCUGCAAAGGACAGGUGUUACCUAAAAUUAAGUGCUGAAAUUAGCUGACAAAGGACUGUAAAUUCCUGGGAAUCUUCUCUGUCCUCAAGCAAAGGGAAACAAAGGUCUUCUUAAUUUACUUUUUAAUUGUCCUUUCUAUAAAAGUCUGUCAAAAAUUUAAGCGAGUUACACAGCCUUGUAAACUCCAACUGCACUGUGUCGCUGGUGCCAGGAUAAAUAAAAAGCACUCCUUUUUCUUUAAAAAAGAUGUCUUGCCCCAUUUUUUGGACACCAUUUUGGGGGCUCAUUUUUGGGCUACAACAUUUGGGAGCUCGUCCAGGAUUACUGGGGGACACCUCUCCAAAUUAUUUUUCACCAACCAAUCGGCUAAACAUCUGUAAGUAUUUGGGUCUUUUUGCCUGUUUGUAAUUUGGGUGCACACAUUUGUAACUGCAGACGGAAUGGGACGCCUUCCAAGGGCUUUUCACCCACUUGUAAUUUAGGGCUUUUGGCUGUUCAUAACUUGGGGCUUCAGACCCUGGGGCUUCUGCCCAUCUGGGGAUUUUGCCCAUUUGUAACUGUGGGGCUUUUUGCCCGUUUGUCUUUAUGUUCAGUGUUUUUGUACUUUGGAGUUGUCUGCCUGUUUGAAUUUGUUACUAACUUAGGGGCUCAUUGCCCAUUUCUGUUGCAGGAUCCAUGUGGCUGAUUGGACUCAAGGUGCAACAGAUUCCAGUCCCUGUGACUAAAAAGCAAGUGCAAGAAUUUCUAGAAGCCAUAGGACUGACCCAGAGUUUGGGACCUUGGCAGAGGCCUAUUGCCUAUCUUUCCAAGAGACUUGAUUAUGUGGCAGCCAGAGGGCCACCUUGUCUGAGGGUGAUUUCCUCAGUGGCCCUCCUGGUAGAGGAGGCUCAAAAAUUGACUUUUGGAUGGAAACUCUUAAUUGUCCCCUCCCAUUUGCUGGAGAUUCUCAUCAAGGCUCCACCAGACCAAUGGCUGCCCAACUCCUGAGUCAUGCAUUAUCAGGCAUUACUUCUGGAUCUGACUACCAUCAGUUUCAAGGGGACAGCAGCUUUAAACCCUGCUACUCUGCUGCCUGAUGAUGACCCCUCCUUGCCCCUCCAUGACUGUAUUGGAGACCAGACUUGACAGAUGAGCCACUAUCUGGAGUUCCAUCGUACUUCUCUGAUGUAAGCAGUUACAUCUAUCAAGGUAAAUGGGUCAUGGGAGCUGCCAUCACUAACGACUCUCAGAUUCUAUAGGAACAAACCUUGGAGCCAGGGACAUUGGCCCAGUGAGCUAAACUCAAUGCCCUCACUGAGGCCCUCAAGUUGUCAGAAGGUAGAGAUUUAAAUACUGAUAGCAAAUAUGCAUUUGCUACUGCCCAUGUUCAUGGAGCUAUUUACCAGAAAUGGGGAUUAUUGAUUUCUGGGGGCCAAAAGAUUAAAAAUGCUCCCCAAAUUUUGGGCAUGUUGGCUGCCAUCUAGAUGCCAGGGAAAGUGGCUAUUAUCCAUUGUAGAGCCCAUCGGGCAGGAGAUGACCUUGUUAUACAAGGAAAUAAUUUGGCAGACACCACCGUCUGAAAGGCAGCCAUAAAAUCAGUGGGGAUUGAGAUAGCCCAGACAUUACUGCUGAUCCCACCUACUCUGUCAGAGCCCAUUUACACUUGAAAAGACUUGCAUCUGGCAGGUCAACUUUGAGCAAUCCCUGUGGGCUAAUAUCAAAGCUUACCCAGUCUGUGAGCCUCAGAUGCCCUCAAUGUCAAUCAGUGAACCCAAAGUGACUGAAACAAAUAGAAACCACUUGCUAUCAUGGCACCAUGCCUGGAGAACACUGAAAAGUAGAUUUCACAAAAAUGGAAAAGCCUGGACUUCAAGGGAAUAAGUACUUAUUAGUAAUGAUAGAUAUUUUCACUGGAUGGGUUGAAGCUUUGCCUACUAAGUCUGAGUCAGCUCUGAUAGCAGUUUCCUCAAUUUGGCCUCCCCUUAUCCAUGGGGUCCAACAAUGGCCCGGCUUUUAUAGCCCAGACAACUCACAAACUAACCUAAGCUUUGCAGAUCAAUUGGAAACUCCAUUGUGCUUACUGGCCUCAAAGUUCAGGACAAGUAGAAAGGAUGAACCAGACUUUUAAAAUUGUAAUAACUAAGAUGGCCUUGGAAACUGGCAAGAACUGGAUGAGUCUCCUUCCUUUUGCUCUUUUGCAUGCACGAUGUACCCGCUAUGUUGCAGGUGUUUCCCCGUUUGAGGCUUUAUAUGGGAGACCUCCUCUUCUUAUUCCUAAAAUUUCUGAGAAAAAUUAGCUGAUUUAGCUAAUCAAGAUCUUAUUAAGUCCCUCCAGGCCCUUCAGCCAGUUCUGACUUCCAUCUACUGGCUAUUCGGACAACAACAUCCUCCGCCUGCAGCCCACUGCAAGGACAAAUGCCCUGCAGUAGAGCUAGGACACUAGUCCUGGGACGUUAGUCCUCAGUAAGAGGCAUCCCUGUGAAUCUCUUGAGCUGUGAUGGAAAGAUCCCUACACUGUGGUCCUCAGCACUCCAACUGCUGUCAAAGUCACUGGAAAGCCUGCCUAGAUUCAUCAUUCCCACUUCAAGCCGGUCCUGGCCUCUGACAGCAAUCAACCUACAGACAAGUGGACUGUCGUGCCCUCCGAGGACUCUUUAAGGCUUAAGAUUACCAAAUGUAUCUGAUAAUCUUGUUCUUAUGUAUUCUCCCUUAUGGAGACCCCAAGGAGAUCAUUACCUUUUCCGGGAGACCCUAUUUUCCUGUGCUCUCAACCAUGUAAUCUUAUGACUUUCAGAUUCUUUAAGUUCACUGGCUGAGAUGGUUUUACAAAGCAGGCAGGGUUUAGAUCUCUUGUUCCUAAAGGAAGGAGGCCUCUGUCUGGCUUUAGGAGAAAAUUGUUGCUUGUAUGCCAGUCAUUCUGGAAUCAUCAGGCAGAGCAUGGCUAACCUCAAAAAGCAAUUGCAAGAACAAACCAGGCAGGCAAAACAGAGCUAGUUUAAAUGUUGGUUUUCUUUCUCCCUUUGGUUAACAGCUUUAAUAAUGGCAGCCGCAGGACCUUUGUUAAUUGUCCUCAUCUGUGUAACUGUUAGACCUUAUACACAAAUUGGUAAACUAUGUCAAAGAUUGUGUUCAAACUAUAAAGCUCAUGAUUUUAAAGACACAAGGUUAUGAAAAGAUACUUAUGUCUGAAAACCCCAUGAGCCAAUGAUUUGGAUCAAGGGCCUGCCUUGCAAGCGGGCAGUCAUGAGUUCCAUCCCCGGUACUGAUAAAAAGGAAAAUGACAAAAAAAAAAAAAAAUCAGUGGGGAAUGCUGUACACUAGCAAAAAAGAGCUUCAUCACCCUGUACUAUGUUUGUCAAUGCCCAAGUUAUAUGGCCAAAUUACUUGUGAAUUCCCUUUGCAAAUGCAACUAUUUCUACAACCAGACACCCUAGGGCAUUAACCACAUUGUUGUUAAAUAACUGUAGCUCAGUCAUACUGUUCUAUAUGUACCAUCUUCCUGGGUGACCUGAUUGAUAUGUUAACCAUCUGCAAAGGACAGAUGUUAUCUAAAAUUAAGUGUUGAAAUUAGCUGACAAAGGUCUGUAAUUCCUGGGAAUCUUCUCUGUCCUCAAGCAAAGGGAAACAAAGGUCUUCCUCAUUCCUUAGCUGACCAAAGAUUGUAAAUUCCUGCAAAACUUCUCUGUCCUCAAGCAAAGGGAACAAAGGUCUUCUUAAUUUACUUUGUAAUUGUCCUUUCUAUAAAAGUCUGUCAAAAAUUUAAGCGAGUUGCACAGCCUUGUAAACUCCAACUGCACUGUGUCACUGGUGCCAGGAUAAAUAAAAAGCACUCCUUUUUCUUUAAAAA